AUGGCGGGAGAAGACGCGGCGGCAUGCGCGCCCCAGGUUGACGGGCACGCGCCGCGGGACGCCGCCUCGUUCGACGAGGAGACGCGGGCCCUCAUCGCGCCCGACGCCGGGAGCCUCCCGGCGGCCCCGCCCUCCGCCGUCGAGGCCAACUUCGCGCGCUACUUCGUCGCCGAUUAUCUCAACCCAGGACAUGACCAGUUUGUGUACCGACAUCCAAACGGGUUGUGCGUGGUUGGUUUAGCUCCAGCCCAUGUUGCACUGAAAGAGGAAGGGGGGAUAACUGCUAUUGACUUCAAUGUUGGGAAGACAGAUCGCAGUGAGAUAAAAGUCACAGGGAAACGCAAAAGGAAUGCACAACAUUUGCAAGAAAAUUCAGCAUUAUGUAAAGUCUGCACAAAGGAUAAAACUUUUGUGGUGAGGUGUUGCGUGAAAGGGCAGCUUUUGGAGAUUAAUGAUAGAUUGAUGAAACAACCCGAUCUGCUUAAUACCUCUGCCGACAGAGAAGGAUACAUAGCAAUCUUCAUGCAGAAACCAGCUGACUGGCUCAAAGUGAAGGAUAAAUUUCUUAGCUUUGAGGAGUACAAGAACUUGAGAGGAAUCUGCUGA
rnacentral:rRNA from 1 species